UACAGAGGGUGCGAGCGUUGUCCGGAAUCACUGGGCGUAAAGGGUGCGUAGGCGGUUCGGUAAGUUUCGUGUGAAAUCUUCGGGCUCAACUCGAAGUCUGCACGAGAUACUGCCGGGCUUGAGUGUGGGAGAGGUGAGUGGAAUUUCCGGUGUAGCGGUGAAAUGCGUAGAUAUCGGAAGGAACACCUGUGGCGAAAGCGGCUCACUGGACCAUAACUGACGCUGAGGCGCGAAAGCGUGGGGGAGCAAACAGGG
rnacentral:rRNA from 1 species